rnacentral:rRNA from 1 species
GAUGAACGCUGGCGGCGUGCCUAAUACAUGCAAGUCGAGCGAACAGACGAGGAGCUUGCUCCUCUGACGUUAGCGGCGGACGGGUGAGUAACACGUGGAUAACCUACCUAUAAGACUGGGAUAACUUCGGGAAACCGGAGCUAAUACCGGAUAAUAUAUUGAACCGCAUGGUUCAAUAGUGAAAGACGGUUUUGCUGUCACUUAUAGAUGGAUCCGCGCCGCAUUAGCUAGUUGGUAAGGUAACGGCUUACCAAGGCGACGAUGCGUAGCCGACCUGAGAGGGUGAUCGGCCACACUGGAACUGAGACACGGUCCAGACUCCUACGGGAGGCAGCAGUAGGGAAUCUUCCGCAAUGGGCGAAAGCCUGACGGAGCAACGCCGCGUGAGUGUUGAAGGUCUUCGGAUCGUAAAACUCUGUUAUUAGGGAAGAACAAAUGUGUAAGUAACUAUGCACGUCUUGACGGUACCUAAUCAGAAAGCCACGGCUAACUACGUG